rnacentral:rRNA from 1 species
UACGAAGGGGGCUAGCGUUGCUCGGAAUUACUGGGCGUAAAGCGCACGUAGGCGGCCUCUUAAGUCGGUGGUGAAAUCCUGGAGCUCAACUCCAGAACUGCCUUCGAUACUGGGAAGCUCGAGUCCGGGAGAGGUGAGUGGAACUGCGAGUGUAGAGGUGAAAUUCGUAGAUAUUCGCAAGAACACCAGUGGCGAAGGCGGCUCACUGGCACGGUACUGACGCUGAUGAGCGAAAGCCAGGGGAGCAAACGGG